GGGAUUGCCCCAGUAACGGCGAGUGAAGCGGCAACAGCUCAAAUUUGAAAUCUGGCCCCCCCCGGGGGGCCCGAGUUGUAAUUUGCAGAGGAUGCUUUGGGCGAGGCGCCUUCCGAGUUCCCUGGAACGGGACGCCACAGAGGGUGAGAGCCCCGUCUGGUCGGACGCCGAGCCUCUGUAAAGCUCCUUCGACGAGUCGAGUAGUUUGGGAAUGCUGCUCAAAAUGGGAGGUAUAUGUCUUCUAAAGCUAAAUACCGGCCAGAGACCGAUAGCGCACAAGUAGAGUGAUCGAAAGAUGAAAAGCACCUUGAAAAGGGGGUUAAACAGUACGUGAAAUUGUUGAAAGGGAAGCGCUCGUGACCAGACUUGGGGCGGGCGGAUCAGCCGGCGUUCUCGCCGGCGCACUCCGCCCGUCCCAGGCCAGCAUCAGUUCGCGCCGGGGGACAAAGGCGGCGGGAACGUGGCUCCCCAGGGAGUGUUAUAGCCCGCCGCGCCAUGCCCCGGGGGCGGACUGAGGGCCGCGCAUCACUGCAAGGAUGCUGGCGUAAUGGUCACCAGCGACCCGUCUUGAAACACGGGCCAAGGAGUCGUCCUCGUAUGCGAGUGUUCGGGUGUCAAACCCCUACGCGGAAUGAAAGUGAACGUGGGUGAGAGCUUCGGCGCAUCAUCGACCGAUCCUGAUGUUCUCGGAUGGAUUUGAGUAGGAGCAUACGGGGCCGGACCCGAAAGAAGGUGAACUAUGCCUGUGUAGGGUGAAGCCAGAGGAAACUCUGGUGGAGGCUCGCAGCGGUUCUGACGUGCAAAUCGAUCGUCAAACAUGGGCAUGGGGGCGAAAGACUAAUCGAACCUUC
rnacentral:rRNA from 1 species